GACGAACGCUGGCGGCGUGCUUAACACAUGCCAGUCGAACGGAAAGGCCCUGCUUUUGUGGGGUUCUCGAGUGGCGAACGGGUGAGUAACACGUGAGUAACCUGCCCUUGACUUUGGGAUGACUUCAGGAAACUGGGGUUAAUACCGGAUCGGAGCUCCUGCUGCAUGGUGGGGGUGGGAACGUUUCGGCGGUGGGGGAUGGAGUCGCGGCUUAUCAGCUUGUUGGUUGGGGAGGGGCUUGCCAAGGCUGUGAAGGGUAGGCGGCCGGUGAGGGUGACCGGCCACAUUGGGACUGAGGGAGGGCCCAGAGUGCUACAGGAGGCAGCAGUGGGAAAUAUUGCACAAUGGGCGGAAGCCUGAUGAAGCAACGCCGCGUGUGGGAUGACGGCCUUCGGGUUGUAAACCGCUUUCGCCUGUGACGAGGCGUGAGUGACGGUAAUGGGUAAAGAAGCACCGGCUAACUACGUG
rnacentral:rRNA from 1 species